rnacentral:rRNA from 1 species
UCGAGGGGCAUCAGGAAGAAAGCUUGCUUUCUUUGCUGGCGACCGGCGCACGGGUGAGUAACACGUAUCCAACCUGCCCUUUACUCGGGGAUAGCCUUUCGAAAGAAAGAUUAAUACCCGAUGGCAUAAUGAUUCCGCAUGGUUUCAUUAUUAAAGGAUUCCGGUAAAGGAUGGGGAUGCGUUCCAUUAGGUUGUUGGUGAGGUAACGGCCCACCAAGCCUUCGAUGGAUAGGGGUUCUGAGAGGAAGGUCCCCCACAUUGGAACUGAGACACGGUCCAAACUCCUACGGGAGGCAGCAGUGAGGAAUAUUGGUCAAUGGGCGCUAGCCUGAACCAGCCAAGUAGCGUGAAGGAUGAAGGCUCUAUGGGUCGUAAACUUCUUUUAUAUAAGAAUAAAGUGCAGUAUGUAUACUGUUUUGUAUGUAUUAUAUGAAUAAGGAUCGGCUAACUCCGUGCCAGCAGCCGCGGUAAUACGGAGGAUCCGAGCGUUAUCCGGAUUUAUUGGGUUUAAAGGGAGCGUAGGUGGACUGGUAAGUCAGUUGUGAAAGUUUGCGGCUCAACCGUAAAAUUGCAGUUGAUACUGUCAGUCUUGAGUACAGUAGAGGUGGGCGGAAUUCGUGGUGUAGCGGUGAAAUGCUUAGAUAUCACGAAGAACUCCGAUUGCGAAGGCAGCUCACUGGACUGCAACUGACACUGAUGCUCGAAAGUGUGGGUAUCAAACAGGAUUAGAUACCCUGGUAGUCCACACAGUAAACGAUGAAUACUCGCUGUUUGCGAUAUACAGUAAGCGGCCAAGCGAAAGCAUUAAGUAUUCCACCUGGGGAGUACGCCGGCAACGGUGAAACUCAAAGGAAUUGACGGGGGCCCGCACAAGCGGAGGAACAUGUGGUUUAAUUCGAUGAUACGCGAGGAACCUUACCCGGGCUUAAAUUGCAGUGGAAUGAUGUGGAAACAUGUCAGUGAGCAAUCACCGCUGUGAAGGUGCUGCAUGGUUGUCGUCAGCUCGUGCCGUGAGGUGUCGGCUUAAGUGCCAUAACGAGCGCAACCCUUAUCUUCAGUUACUAACAGGUCAUGCUGAGGACUCUGGAGAGACUGCCGUCGUAAGAUGUGAGGAAGGUGGGGAUGACGUCAAAUCAGCACGGCCCUUACGUCCGGGGCUACACACGUGUUACAAUGGGGGGUACAGAAGGCAGCUAGCGGGUGACCGUAUGCUAAUCCCAAAAUCCUCUCUCAGUUCGGAUCGAAGUCUGCAACCCGACUUCGUGAAGCUGGAUUCGCUAGUAAUCGCGCAUCAGCCACGGCGCGGUGAAUACGUUCCCGGGCCUUGUACACACCGCCCGUCAAGCCAUGGGAGCCGGGGGUACCUGAAGUACGUAACCGCAAGGAUC